GGGGGUGACCUGGUCUCGACGGGAAUAGCGAGACUAAAGAUGCAUGCCGAGGGUUCCAUUGACCUCGUAAAUUCUGAUGGAAACUCAUAAGUGCAAAUACUUAUGAAUAUGCACUGGCUGCUUAAUUAAACAGCCAGCGUCCUCUCUGUCUCUGUCUGCAGGAUAGAAAAGGAUGUUAUAAAUGCAGGCUGGCUUUACAUCAUGCCUGAGGAUGUGGGGUAAGACUAAAUCAGGAUAGCCAUUUGAGAAUCCUGCCUCCGGGAGUCUUGAGUGGUGAGAUUCAAAUCAGAGGAUAAGCAUGUAGUAUGCUUUAAGUUGAGCGUUUUCGGACGCGGGUUCGAUUCCCGCCACCUCCACCA
rnacentral:tmRNA from 1 species